AUUGAACGCUGGCGGAAUGCUUUACACAUGCAAGUCGAACGGCAGCACGGGGCAACCUGGUGGCGAGUGGCGAACGGGUGAGUAAUACAUCGGAACGUGCCCAAUCGUGGGGGAUAACGUAGCGAAAGUUACGCUAAUACCGCAUACGAUCUACGGAUGAAAGCGGGGGAUCGCAAGACCUCGCGCGAGUGGAGCGGCCGAUGUCAGAUUAGGUAGUUGGUGGGGUAAAGGCUCACCAAGCCAACGAUCUGUAGCUGGUCUGAGAGGACGACCAGCCACACUGGAACUGAGACACGGUCCAGACUCCUACGGGAGGCAGCAGUGGGGAAUUUUGGACAAUGGGCGCAAGCCUGAUCCAGCCAUUCCGCGUGCAGGAUGAAGGCCUUCGGGUUGUAAACUGCUUUUGUACGGUAACGAAACGGCGAGCUCUAAUACAGUUUGUCUAAUGACGGUACCGUAAGAAUAAGCACCGGCUAACUACGUGCCAGCAGCCGAC
rnacentral:rRNA from 1 species